GCAAGUCGAGCGAACAGACGAGGAGCUUGCUCCUCUGACGUUAGCGGCGGACGGGUGAGUAACACGUGGAUAACCUACCUAUAAGACUGGGAUAACUUCGGGAAACCGGAGCUAAUACCGGAUAAUAUAUUGAACCGCAUGGUUCAAUAGUGAAAGACGGUUUUGCUGUCACUUAUAGAUGGAUCCGCGCCGCAUUAGCUAGUUGGUAAGGUAACGGCUUACCAAGGCAACGAAGCGUAGCCGACCUGAGAGGGUGAUCGGCCACACUGGAACUGAGACACGGUCCAGACUCCUACGGGAGGCAGCAGUAGGGAAUCUUCCGCAAUGGGCGAAAGCCUGACGGAGCAACGCCGCGUGAGUGAUGAAGGUCUUCGGAUCGUAAAACUCUGUUAUUAGGGAAGAACAAAUGUGUAAGUAACUAUGCACGUCUUGACGGUACCUAAUCAGAAAGCCACGGCUAACUACGUGCCAGCAGCCGCGGUAAUACGUAGGUGGCAAGCGUUAUCCGGAAUUAUUGGGCGUAAAGCGCGCGUAGGCGGUUUUUUAAGUCUGAUGUGAAAGCCCACGGCUCAACCGUGGAGGGUCAUUGGAAACUGGAAAACUUGAGUGCAGAAGAGGAAAGUGGAAUUCCAUGUGUAGCGGUGAAAUGCGCAGAGAUAUGGAGGAACACCAGUGGCGAAGGCGACUUUCUGGUCUGUAACUGACGCUGAUGUGCGAA
rnacentral:rRNA from 1 species